rnacentral:rRNA from 5 species
AGACCCGAAACCCGGUGAUCUAGCCAUGGGCAGGUUGAAGGUUGGGUAACACUAACUGGAGGACCGAACCGACUAAUGUUGAAAAAUUAGCGGAUGACCUGUGGCUGGGGGUGAAAGGCCAAUCAAACCGGGAGAUAGCUGGUUCUCCCCGAAAGCUAUUUAGGUAGCGCCUCGUGAAUUCAUCUCCGGGGGUAGAGCACUGUUUCGGCUAGGGGGCCAUCCCGGCUUACCAACCCGAUGCAAACUGCGAAUACCGGAGAAUGUUAUCACGGGAGACACACGGCGGGUGCUAACGUCCGUCGUGAAGAGGGAAACAACCCAGACCGCCAGCUAAGGUCCCAAAGUCAUGGUUAAGUGGGAAACGAUGUGGGAAGGCCCAGACAGCCAGGAUGUUGGCUUAGAAGCAGCCAUCAUUUAAAGAAAGCGUAAUAGCUCACUGGUCGAGUCGGCCUGCGCGGAAGAUGUAACGGGGCUAAACCAUGCACCGAAGCUGCGGCAGCGAACGUAUCACCCAAGACAACUUUACGGAGUUGACGAUUGACGGAGCGAAGCGACGUCAAAGCGUUCAUUAAAGUCGAGUUGGCUUAGGGAUACGUUCGUUGGGUAGGGGAGCGUUCUGUAAGCCUGUGAAGGUGUGUCGUGAGGCAUGCUGGAGGUAUCAGAAGUGCGAAUGCUGACAUAAGUAACGAUAAAGCGGGUGAAAAGCCCGCU